UACGUAGGGUGCGAGCGUUAAUCGGAAUUACUGGGCGUAAAGCGUGCGUAGACGGUCAUGUAAGUCGGGUGUGAAAGCCCCGGGCUCAACCUGGGAAUUGCAUUCGAGACUGCAUGGCUAGGAUGCGGAAGAGGGAAGCGGAAUUUCCGGUGUAGCGGUGAAAUGCGUAGAUAUCGGAAGGAACACCAGUGGCGAAAGCGGCUUCCUGGUCCAGCAUCGACGUUCAGGCACGAAAGCGUGGGGAGCAAACAGG
rnacentral:rRNA from 1 species